CUGCCCAAUGAGUAUUUUUAAUGGCCGCAGUAUUUUAACUGUGCAAAGGUAGCAUAAUAAUUAGUUUUUUAAUUGAAAGCUGGAAUGAAUGAUUGGACGAGAUAGUUAGUUUUUUAAGUUUAAAUUGUUAGAAUUUAAUUUUUAAGUAAAAAAGCUUAAAUAUUUUAUAAAGACAAGAAGACCCUAUAGAGUUUAAUAAUUAUUUAUAAUAAGUUUAUAUUUAGAAGAGAUAAUUAUAUAUAAAAAUUUAUUUGAUUGGGGUGAUUUAAAAAUUUAUUAAACUUUUUAUUUAUAAUAACAUUAAUUUAUGAGUUUUUGAUCCAUUAGUUUUGAUAAAAAGAUUAAAUUACCUUAGGGAUAACAGCGUAAUUUUUUUGGAGAGUUCUUAUUGAUAAAAAAGAUUGCGACCUCGAUGUUGGAUUAAGAUAAAAAUUUAAUGUAGAAGUUAAAUAAUUAAGUCUGUUCGACUUUUAAAAUCUUACAUGAUC
rnacentral:rRNA from 1 species